UACGUAGGGGGCAAGCGUUGUCCGGAAUCAUUGGGCGUAAAGAGCGUGUAGGCGGUUCAGUAAGUCUGCUGUGAAAGUCCAGGGCUCAACCCUGGGAUGCCGGUGGAUACUGCCGGGCUAGAGUACGGAAGAGGCGAGUGGAAUUCCCGGUGUAGCGGUGAAAUGCGCAGAUAUCGGGAGGAACACCUAUUGCGAAGGCAGCUCGCUGGGACGUUACUGACGCUGAGACGCGAAAGCGUGGGGAGCAAACAGG
rnacentral:rRNA from 1 species